CUUUUAUCACACUAGUGUGAGAAAAUCCCUUGCAAAUCCUUUAUCGCACUAGAUACGUUCAUACGACAUUGCACACAGACGGCGUAAGUUACAAAUAUCAUCACUGAAUUGCAUAAAAUAUAAUAUGCAAAUUCACUUAAGAUU